AUUGAACGCUGGCGGCAUGCCUUACACAUGCAAGUCGAACGGCAGCACGGGGGCAACCCUGGUGGCGAGUGGCGAACGGGUGAGUAACAUAUCGGAACGUGCCCUGGAGUGGGGGAUAACUAGUCGAAAGACUAGCUAAUACCGCAUACGAUCUACGGAUGAAAGUGGGGGAUCGCAAGACCUCAUGCUCGUGGAGCGGCCGAUAUCUGAUUAGCUAGUUGGUGGGGUAAAGGCCUACCAAGGCAUCGAUCAGUAGCUGGUCUGAGAGGACGACCAGCCACACUGGGACUGAGACACGGCCCAGACUCCUACGGGAGGCAGCAGUGGGGAAUUUUGGACAAUGGGCGCAAGCCUGAUCCAGCAAUGCCGCGUGAGUGAAGAAGG
rnacentral:rRNA from 1 species